AUACGUAGGGUGCAAGCGUUAAUCGGAAUUACUGGGCGUAAAGCGUGCGCAGGCGGUUUUGUAAGACAGUGGUGAAAUCCCCGGGCUCGACCUGGGAACUGCCAUUGUGACUGCAAGGCUGGAGUGCGGCAGAGGGGGGUGGAAUUCCGCGUGUAGCCGUGAAAUGCGUAGAUAUGCGGAGGAACACCGAUGGCGAAGGCAAUCCCCUGGGCCUGCACUGACGCUCAUGCACGAAAGCGUGGGGAGCAAACAGGAUUAGAUACCCUGGUAGUCCACGCCCUAAACGAUGUCAACUGGUUGUUGGGGAUUUAUUUUCUCAGUAACGAAGCUAACGCGUGAAGUUGACCGCCUGGGGAGUACGGCCGCAAGGUUAAAACUCAAAUGAAUUGACGGGG
rnacentral:rRNA from 1 species